GUAGGGAAUAUUGGGCAAUGGAAGGAAUUCUGACCCAGCCAUGCCGCGUGCAGGAAUACAGUCCUAUGGACUUUAAACUGCUUUUAUUAUAGAGUAACCUGGGGGACGUGUCCCCCACUGCAAGUAUAUAAUGAAUAAGCAUCGGCUAACUCCGUGCCAGCAGCCGCGGUAAUACGGGGGAUGCAAGCGUUAUCCGGAUUUAUUGGGUUUAAAGGGUGCGCAGGCUGAUCGGUAAGUCAUGGGUGAAAAGUCACUGCUUAACAGUGAUCGUGCCUAUGAUACUGCCGGACUAGAGUUUAAGAGGUGUAACUGGAAUGUGAUGUGUAGCGGUGAAAUGCUUAGAUAUGUCACAGAACGCCAAUCGUGAAGACAGGUUACAAACUUAAUACUGACGCUCAUGCACGAAAGCGUGGGGAUCAAACAGGAUUAGAAACCCCGGUAGUCC
rnacentral:rRNA from 1 species